GAACGAAAGUCAGAGGUUCGAAGGCGAUUAGAUACCGCCCUAGUUCUGACCGUAAAUGAUGCCAACUACCAAUCCGCUGGUGGGUUUCGAUUCCACGAGCGGGCGGGUUUCCGGAAACGACAAGUCUUUCGGUUCCGGGGGAAGUAUGGUUGCAAAGCUGAAACUUAAAGGAAUUGACGGAAGGGCACCACCAGGAGUGGAGCUUGCGGCUUAAUUUGACUCAACACGGGAAAUCUCACCCGGCCAGCACAUCGUGAGGAUUGACAGACCGAUAGCUCUUUCAUGAUUCGGUGGAUGGUGGUGCAUGGCCGUUCUUAGUUCGUGCGUUAGCGUGUCUGCUUAAUUGCGAUAACGAGCGAGACGCCGACUGCUAAAUAGUGCGUCGAUUGGUUCGCUUGUCGACGACCAUUUCUUAGCGGGAUUUGUGGUUUCUAGCCUCAAGAAAUGGCGCAAUAACAGGUCUGUGAUGCCCUUAGAUGUUCGGGGCCGCACGCGUGCUACAAUGGUGGUAUCAGCGUGACUGUCCGACGCCGAAAGGCGAUGGCAAACAGUUGAGAUAUUAUUAUGGCUGGAAUUGAGUGUUGAAAUUUUCACUCAUGAACGAGGAAUUCCAAGUAAAUGCGAGUCAUCAACUCGCAUUGAUUACGUCCCUGCCCUUUGUACACACCGCCCGUCGCUCCCCGGGACUGAGUUGUUUCGAGAAAUCCACGGACCGGUGCCGCGGCGGGCUUCGCGGCUCG
rnacentral:rRNA from 1 species